GAUGAACGCUGGCGGCGUGCCUAAUACAUGCAAGUCGAGCGAACGGACGAGAAGCUUGCUUCUCUGAUGUUGGCGGCGGACGGGUGAGUAACACGUGGAUAACCUACCUAUAAGACUGGGAUAACUUCGGGAAACCGGAGCUAAUACCGGAUAAUAUUUUGAACCGCAUGGUUCAAAAGUGAAAGACGGUCUUGCUGUCACUUAUAGAUGGAUCCGCGCUGCAUUAGCUAGUUGGUAAGGUAACGGCUUACCAAGGCAACGAUGCAUAGCCGACCUGAGAGGGUGAUCGGCCACACUGGAACUGAGACACGGUCCAGACUCCUACGGGAGGCAGCAGUAGGGAAUCUUCCGCAAUGGGCGAAGGCCUGACGGAGCAACGCCGCGUGAGUGAUGAAGGUCUUCGGAUCGUAAAACUCUGUUAUUAGGGAAGAACAUAUGUGUAAGUAACUGUGCACAUCUUGACGGUACCUAAUCAGAAAGCCACGGCUAACUACGUGCCAGCAGCCGCGGUAAUACGUAGGUGGCAAGCGUUAUCCGGAAUUAUUGGGCGUAAAGCGCGCGUAGGCGGUUUUUUAAGUCUGAUGUGAAAGCCCACGGCUCAACCGUGGAGGGUCAUUGGAAACUGGAAAACUUGAGUGCAGAAGAGGAAAGUGGAAUUCCAUGUGUAGCGGUGAAAUGCGCAGAGAUAUGGAGGAACACCAGUGGCGAAGGCGACUUUCUGGUCUGUAACUGACGCUGAUGUGCGAAAGCGUGGGGAUCAAACAGGAUUAGAUACCCUGGUAGUCCACGCCGUAAACGAUGAGUGCUAAGUGUUAGGGGGUUUCCGCCCCUUAGUGCUGCAGCUAACGCAUUAAGCACUCCGCCUGGGGAGUACGACCGCAAGGUUGAAACUCAAAGGAAUUGACGGGGACCCGCACAAGCGGUGGAGCAUGUGGUUUAAUUCGAAGCAACGCGAAGAACCUUACCAAAUCUUGACAUCCUUUGACAACUCUAGAGAUAGAGCUUUCCCCUUCGGGGGACAAAGUGACAGGUGGUGCAUGGUUGUCGUCAGCUCGUGUCGUGAGAUGUUGGGUUAAGUCCCGCAACGAGCGCAACCCUUAAGCUUAGUUGCCAUCAUUAAGUUGGGCACUCUAAGUUGACUGCCGGUGACAAACCGGAGGAAGGUGGGGAUGACGUCAAAUCAUCAUGCCCCUUAUGAUUUGGGCUACACACGUGCUACAAUGGACAAUACAAAGGGCAGCGAAACCGCGAGGUCAAGCAAAUCCCAUAAAGUUGUUCUCAGUUCGGAUUGUAGUCUGCAACUCGACUACAUGAAGCUGGAAUCGCUAGUAAUCGUAGAUCAGCAUGCUACGGUGAAUACGUUCCCGGGUCU
rnacentral:rRNA from 1 species